CCCUUAGAUGUUCUGGGCCGCACGCGCGCUACACUGAUGCAUUCAACGAGCCUAUCCUUGACCGACAGGUCCGGGUAAUCUUUGAAUCUUCAUCGUGACGGGGAUAGAUUAUUGCAAUUAUUAAUCUUCAACGAGGAAUGCCUAGUAGGCGCAAGUCAUCAGCUUGCGUCGAUUACGUCCCUGCCCUUUGUACACACCGCCCGUCGCUCCUACCGAUUGGGUGUGCUGGUGAAAUGUUCGGAUCGGCCGUUUGUCGCGGUUUCCGCGUCAUGUGGCUGAGAAGUUCAUUAAACCCUCCCACCUAGAGGAAGGAGAAGUCGUAACA
rnacentral:rRNA from 1 species